rnacentral:rRNA from 1 species
ACCUGCGGAAGGAUCAUUACCUAGAGUUUGUGGGCUUUGCCUGCUAUCUCUUACCCAUGUCUUUUGAGUACUUACGUUUCCUCGGUGGGCUCGCCCACCGGUUGGACAAUUUAAACCAUUUGCAGUUGCAAUCAGCGUCUGAAAAACAUAAUAGUUACAACUUUCAACAACGGAUCUCUUGGUUCUGGCAUCGAUGAAGAACGCAGCGAAAUGCGAUAAGUAGUGUGAAUUGCAGAAUUCAGUGAAUCAUCGAAUCUUUGAACGCACAUUGCGCCCCUUGGUAUUCCAUGGGGCAUGCCUGUUCGAGCGUCAUUUGUACCUUCAAGCUCUGCUUGGUGUUGGGUGUUUGUCUCGCCUCUGCGUGUAGACUCGCCUUAAAACAAUUGGCAGCCGGCGUAUUGAUUUCGGAGCGCAGUACAUCUCGCGCUUUGCACUCAUAACGACGGCGUCCAAAAGCACAUUUUACACUCUUGACCUCGGAUCAGGUAGGGAUACCCGCUGAACUUAAGCAUAUCA